CUUUCACUAUUUUUUAUAUUCCCCAAAUGAAUGAGACCCUAUAAUGUUUGUCCUUCUCCGAUUGAGUUAUUUCACUCAGCAUACCUCCAGUUCCAUCCACGUUGAAGCAAAUGGUGGGUAUUUGUUGUUUCUAAUGGCUGAGUAAUAUUUCAUUGUAUACAUAAGUUACAUCUUUAUCCAUUCAUCUUUUGAUACACACCGAGGCUACUUCCACAGUUUGGCAAUUGUGGACAUUGCUGCUAGAAACAUCUGGGUGCAGGUGUCCUGGUGUAUGACUGCAUCUGUAUCUUUGUGGUAAAUCCCCAGCAUUGCAAUUGUUGGGCCUUAGGGCAGAUCUAUUUUUAACUCUUUGAGGAACCUCCACACAGUUUUCCAGUGUGGCUGAACCAGUUCACAUUCCCACUAACAGUGCAAGCUGGUUCCCCUUUCUCCACAUCCUCUUGAACAUUUGUUGCCUCCUUUCUUCUGUCUGGUUUUUACUGACAUUCAAAUAACGUAAAAGUUCAGGCUCAUAACUUUGUUGCAUUUCUAACUCCUUUCAACAACAACAGGAAAUCGUGUAUUAUGACUAGAAGUUUAAUUGAGUCCUAAACUAUUGGAAAAAAAUCUAAAAUAUACGUUCAUGUUCUAAAGAUUGAGUUUAAACAAAAGAGCCAGAGCUCAUUCUUCCAGAAGGCUUGUUAAGUUGAAUACAGAGCCCUUUUACAAGUAUAUUAGAAAAAUAAGUAGUCCCACAGUAUCAGUCAAUUCAUGUAUAAAUGAGAAGAGAGCUACCAUUAGUGUGAAACUAACUCUGAAGUAGUUGACUGCCAAGCUGAUUGUUAAAUUGGUUUAUUAUUAAAACAGGAGAACAAUCCCACACACUUAGAAAUGAGGUCCUAGAUUGGAAGAACUGGUAAAUGUAGCUGCUCAUAAUCUAAGUUAAAUAAUUCUUCCACAAUUUGAGUAGAUAUAUAUCAACAUGGCAGUCUUAUAUGUAAUUUAUGGUGUUUAGGAAAUUAUCUAAUGGACUUCAUGUUUCCCUAGAGCUUAUUUUUUAGAGAUGCUAGUGAAUACGGAGGGAGAAAACUGAAUGCUCAAAAAAGUCCUAUUGCCAUCUUAUACAUUUGGGGAAACUGUAAGACAAUGUCCAAAGAAUCUUGGUCUUCAAUACUUUUAUAUAUAGUAAUAACUAACACCAUAAAAUAGCACCCAUUUAGAUAGAAUUGAUGGUAGAUGUGGCAGUACUACAUCAUUUUUUACAAUGUCUGAGCCUAUGUAGUACUUAAGACCUUUCCUCCAGGCAUCAAUAUAAAAUAUUGAAUACCUCUAGAAAGCGUGAAAAUAAUUUUGUCUUUGGAAGGAGUUUACGUGAAGUGUUCCUGCAUGUCCCAUUGGAGAUUUGCGAGGAGCCUCUUCUCCCUCUGCCUGUGUCUCUGCCUCUCUCUCCCUCUCUGUGUCUCUCAUGAUUAAAUAGAUAAAUAAAUAAAUAAACAAACAAACAAACAAAAUUUUAAAUAAAUAAAAUAAUCAUCAUUAUUUUAUGAUUUUUAAAAAUGCAGUGAAAGUUAAGGAAAUCAUCCUGAGAGGCAGGAAGCCUCUCAUUUGGCCAUCUUUUUAACAUGUUAUACUUAUUUUCCUCCCUUGUUUAAGGCUUUUUUUUUUGUACGUAUGCCAUGACUUUUUUUGUUAGCUAUACUUUUGAGGAAGAAGCUCUUCAAUUUAGAGGUGCUGUAUCUUUUUCUAGCCAUUAAUUCAUUGUCUUCUAGAAAUACACAUUUGCUUCAAUGUAUCCCUUAGAGUGCAACAAUCCUGAACUCCUAUGGGAUUUUUCACCAAUGACCGAUGAAAGUUGUUUUUUCAACUUCCCUAUUUUAUUGAAGCAGGUCUGAAGACCAGGAAGAAAGCUGACUAGUGAUCUGAAUUGCAAAAUGUUGAGAACUAACCAGUGAAUUGUCAUGGUGCCUAAUGAUUCUUAAGCACAAAGGAAGUUUUAUUAAUUAUUUGAAGUAAAGACAACACAGUCAUUUGUAGGAGAUCCUUAGCUAGAAAGUUUUGAUAUUCUUUGAAGAAAAUUAAUACAACAAAACCUUAAAGUUUUAGAAGAAGUUACAAAAACAUCAAAAUCUGAGCCGCACAAAAGAAAAGUCACGUAUCUGAGGUCACAAACGUAAGGGAAGCAAGUAAAUGCAGGAAAGCUGGAAGCUUCUCCAUUGCUUGUGGCCAUAGAGACUGUGGACAAGACAACAGGAUGCUACUUUUAUUUCAUAGGGAAAUGUCGUUUGUGACCAUCAUUUGUAAAAGGGUUUUCCGUUGGUUUUGGUGCAAAGAGUGUUUGCCACUUCUCGGUCUAAGUGGACUAAGACAUCCCUCACUCCUGUUACCACUAGUCCAUGUUUUCAGUGCUGUUGGUUGGCUUUGGAAAUGUGACCUUUGUGGAUAAAACAGGGAAGUUUCUCUGGCAUCGAGUAGAAAACAAGGAGCCCACACAAGGCUCUGUACAGAUGGUGUGUGUGCAUGCAUGCAUGAGAUACUUUCAUAACAGGAUCUGUUAUGAAAUAUUUACAUAUAUUUAUAUAUACAAAAUAUCUGUAUCUUACAAUGAAGUGAGCUGUGGAAAAGACAAUGUUAUUAAGAAAAUCGUAAGGAAGAGGGGCGCCUGGGUCGUUCAAUCGUUGGGCUCCUGGCUGAUGCAAUUGGUUAAGUGUCUGACACUUGGAUUUGGCUCAGGUCGUGAUCUCAUGAUCUUUGGAUCAAGCCCUGCAUCAGGCUUCAUGCUCAGGAGUGAGUCUAUUUGUAAUUCUCUCCCUCUGUCCCCCUACUCAUGUGUACACACUCUUUCUCAUUCUCUCUCUCUCUUAAAUAAGUAACUAAAUCUUCAAAAAA
rnacentral:lncRNA from 1 species